rnacentral:misc_RNA from 1 species
CUACUAUAUCCAUUUCUUUUCAUUUUCAUCUGGAACUAGCUUGCUAGCUUUUUCUUGCUACCAUAAACAGCAAUAGUCCUGUAUCUUUAUCGUAAUAUGCAAACUUAAUGCAUAAAUAACGGACUAUAUAUAUAGGAUCGUCAUCUGCACCAACAAUGGCAACAACAAACACUAGAGCUAUUUAAGUGUUCAACAUCUUUCUAAAACAAAAUACAAAAACAAAAAAUUACUUUUUCCUUUUUCUUAACUUUUACAAGUUGAUCUGCACCCAACAAAAGCCAUUAAGAACAAUAAACAUAUACCUAAAAUGGGUUUAGAUAAUAUUUUCAUUUCUCUAUAAAUUUUUUCCCUUUUCAUUAAAGGGUCUACCUCAUGGUGAUGAUUCUGGUCUAGGGCAAACCAUUACAUUGAUGCAAAUCACCCCACGCUUGAAUCCCAUUCCAGUUUCCAGCUGCUGCGUUGUUGCUGCCAUUGCCGCUACCGUAGUCUGGGGUUGGAGUCACUUGCCCGAAAGAAUUUCUAAAGAACCAGUCUGUUGCUGAAUCACCCCCAUUUCCACCUUCUCUUCUUAAAUUGCCAAUACCACUUACUUCUGGUUUUGAAAUUUCAAGAUUUUGAAACAAAAUGGGUUGAGGCUUCUGUGUCUGGCUUUGGAUUGGAACUGAAGAAACACUGCUGUCUUUCUGAUCUUCUCCCCCAAAAAGCAUAGCCAAUCUCUGCUGCUGCAACUUCCAGUGCAAAUCUUGGUUUAUAGAACUCAAAGACUCAAUUGACGAUGCAAGACCAGUGUGAACAUUCAUCGAACCACCAGCCAUAUCCUGAAUUGCACCGCUAAACCCAGUUGCAAGAGAAGAAAUUGGAUAGUUGAAUCCCACCAAUGAACCAGCUGAGCUUCCAGUCGGAUCAAGGCUGAAACAUGGACUGGUAACACUAAUAGCAGCUGCGGAGGUGGCAGAAAUAUCCCCAAAUGAAGAGAACUGAUUAUACAGGCCACUCGGUGAUGAGUUUAGCCUAGGAAAUGAUAACCCACCAAGAUUAAAAUCCAUGGCUGGAGCGAGACCAUGAAAGAACUUGAAUCUACCGAUCUCUGAGGACCCGCUGGAGUCCUUGGAGUCACAAGAAAACCUUGAAGAUGCCUUCACCUUCUUAUUUUUCCUGCAGCCACCGCCGAUGGGAACGUUGCGUAGGGCUCCUCCUUUAGUCCAGUACCUUCUACAAGUCUUGCAAAAAUGCCUGGGCUGUGUUAGACUAUAAUUGUUGUAGUAGCAGAAUUUUGUGUUGGGCGAGUCGCAUCUUGGACACUUGGACGCCUGCUCUUGUGGCCUUGUUGCUGUUGUUUUCCGGUUACAGGAGCCUUGGUUUUCUUCUCUGGUGGCUUGCUUUCCCUGAAUAUUAUUCGCGGACAUCAUGG